rnacentral:rRNA from 1 species
AUGCGAUCUGAUGUAUUCAGGCGGCGAGCGCUCAAGGGACACCGCCGCCGGAGUGGCGAGCGGCGGGAUGCGCUAGGCGGGGAGCGAGCGGUGGGGUGCGCUAGGCUCGCGUUGGUACUUUCAGGCAUGUACAUCAAUAACGAACCAGAAAAUCAACAACGACUGAACCACCUCGGCCGCGCAUGCGCGUGCCCUGCUUAUCCAUCCGCAAAUGGGGUGCGGUGCUCUGGAUGUCCCACAACGACGACGGGCGCGCGCCGGAGAACAGGCCGGCGAUGCCUUCUUUCAUGCGCACCAACACACUACAUCAACACACACAGCCAGGAGGCAGCGAGUACACGUGCCGACGAAGGACGCGAGCACGGCGCCGAGGAGGGGCCUGGCGCGGUGUGUGCAUAG